GACGAACGCUGGCGGCGUGCUUAAUACAUGCAAGUCGAACGGAAAGGCCCUGCUUGCAGGGUACUCGAGUGGCGAACGGGUGAGUAACACGUGGGUGAUCUGCCCUGCACUUCGGGAUAAGCCUGGGAAACUGGGUCUAAUACCGGACAGGAGCCAUUUUUAGUGUGAUGGUUGGAAAGUUUUUUCGGUGUAGGAUGAGCUCGCGGCCUAUCAGCUUGUUGGUGGGGUAAUGGCCUACCAAGGCGGCGACGGGUAGCCGGCCUGAGUGGGUGGACGGCCACAUUGGGACUGAGAUACGGCCCAGACUCCGACGGGAGGCAGCAGUGGGGAAUAUUGCACAAUGGGCGCAGGCCUGAUGCAGCGGCGCCGCGUGGGGGAUGACGGCCUUCGGGUUGUAAACUCCUUUCGCUAGGGACGAAGCUUUUUGUGACGGUACCUAGAUAAGAAGCACCGGCUAACUACGUG
rnacentral:rRNA from 1 species